CUCUGCAUUUUCUUUGGCAUUGAAUCCAAAGAGUCUGGGACAGUAAUGGAGCUGCUCUAUCUGUUUGGUCACACAUUUCACAUUUGUUUCUCCAGCAGGUACAUUACAAGACCUUGGCCAUAGCAGACAGUUUAAAAUACCUGUAUGUGCCAGACCAGAAAGUAAGGUCAGAUCAGAGCUGACAGGAAGGGAAAUGGGAGAGAGAGAAGGGGGCGGGAUCAGGAAAGGUCCUUGAGCCGGGAUUCAAACUUGGAACGCCUGUAACACAAUGGCAAUGUCAGCGCGCUCCCCACAGGGCUAUCGCUGGUUCCGCUAGGGGUCAUCAUAGUGGAGUUAUCCACACAUUAGGCCUCAUUCAUGAAACUUUCGGGAAACUGGAGCACCUGGAGGAAGCCCACACUGUUACAGCAAGUACAUGCAAACUCCACACAGAAAAGACACUUGGCUCAAGUUCACUCCUCACCUGGCUGACACAAAAAGAUUGUGGGUUUGUGAUUUCAGCACCACGGACAGUACCACAGUAAUGGCACAUACUGAAUGGGCAGCUGUGGGAUUUGACAUGGCUGAAGGAGCAUCACGGGAUCGCCAAAGCUCGUUAGUCUCUCCUGAGACUGCUCACUUAG